rnacentral:lncRNA from 1 species
AUCCAACGUGUUGAUCCGUCGUCUGUGAUCCUCUGGUGCCGUCCGAAGAUAAUAUUUUAGCUCUUCCCGAUAAGUUGAUGUGUAAGUUCUCUCAUCAACACUGUUCCAACAAUUUAAAUCAUAAAACGAAUCAGAAAAACCACUAUGUGCCAGCCAUUUAGAAGAUGAUGGCUCCUCAGGGGAUGAGGAGUGACAGUUGGAGUGAUAUUUGUAGGUACGACUAAAUCAAAUAAAUCAGUAUAGUGAUUAUAUAAUUUUUCUAUGUAAUCCUUUGCAUCAGUCGUAGCCGUCCACAAAUCAGGUUGUACUUGUUCAGAAUCAUGGUUAGUAUUUAUUUCUAAGUUAGUAUAAAUAAGAGUACUAAAGUGGCACAUAUUAUUAUAUUUCAUGCACGGAUUUAGCAUAGCACCAACCAAGUAAAUAGGGGGAAUCGAGAAAAAUAUUUUUUAAAUUUCGUAAACAUGGCACCAACAGAUUCUUUAUAACCUUCUUUAUUUUUAUAUUCUUUG